rnacentral:rRNA from 1 species
UCGCCUGUUUAUCAAAAACAUGGUCUUUUGUAUAUAUAAAAGAUUUGGCCUGCCCAGUGAUUAUUAAAUGGCUGCAGUAUAUUGACUGUACAAAGGUAGCAUAAUCAUUUGUCUCUUAAUUGGAGUCUGGAAUGAAUGGUUGGAUGAAAAAUUUACUUUCUUUAUUUUAAAUAAAAAAUUUGAUUUUUAGAUUAAAAAGUCUAAAUGUUGAUAAAGGACGAGAAGACCCUAUAGAACUUUAUUUUCUUAGAUUAGUUAUUUAUUUGUAAAUGAUAUUUUAUUAGUUGGUGUGAAUUUUGUUGGGGUGACAGAAAAAAUUUAAUAACUUUUUCUAUUUUUUUCACAUAUAUGUGAUUUAUUGAUCCUUUAUUAAGGAAACAAGAUUAAGUUACCUUAGGGAUAACAGCGUUAUUAUUUCAGAGAGUUCAUAUUGAUGAAAUAGUUUGCGACCUCGAUGUUGGAUUAAAAUUAAUUUCAGGAGUAGAAGAUUGAAAUAUUAGGUCUGUUCGACCUUUAAAUUUUUACAUGAUCUGAGUUCAAACCGGAGA